AAUGAGAAUCCGGGAACCUACCUCUUUCAGGCUCAUUAAAGCCAUUACUUGUGAUUUUACAUCUAUCUAGAAUCAAAAGAGGUGGGAUGUCUGGCGAGUGCUGGAUUGAAGACAAAUAAGAACGUGAAGCAUUUGUGUCACCAAGUUUUAUUCAUCCCAUCCAGAUACUUUUCUUUAUGCCACAAGAACAGGUUUCCAGCACUUCAAUCAGAAUGACAGUCACUGUGAGCAUCUAAUUAUGUCGACCAGCAGAAACAGACCUGUCUGAAGUCAUCCUUGGAGAAAUUCUCCACCAACUUGGAGCCAACAGAAAAGAAUCCUCGUCCUAAAGGACUGUAGGCAACGAUUCCAAUGCCAAGCUCCCUAGUCAACAUUUUGAAGGAAGAGCAGAGUCAGAAGAAAGAUGAUGUUACUGCAUAAAUAAAUUAACAGAGUGAUAUCCUACCUGCACGUGGGAAUGAUCUCUGCCUCCACAUCUCUUGACCACAGCGACCACUCCAAUUGCACCGCUGUGAUGGGAUGAACAGCAUGUGCUCUUCUGAUUGUUGACGCAGAGGCCUCAGACAUACCGAUGUACUUGAUCUUACCCUCUUCAACGAGCUUCUUUAGCUCUCCGAUCUGUGCAUAUUCACAAGACAAAACAAAACAACAACCGUCAAGAUCUUACGUGUUAAGAUCCAGAAAAUUAUGCACAUCAUUAGCUUUUUAUGUUUCCCGAUCCCUGAAUAGUUUAGUCAAUUAUUAUGCAUCUCAAUGUGACAAAAAAGUCACUAGGUAUUGAGUUAACGGAGGUGGAUUUCUCUAAUCGAUCACAGAAGAGAGCAUAUUAAAGAAGUGUUCCAAGUACUUGUCACAUUUCACGAUGAUAUGUCAAGAACCAAAUGUCUCCAUUCCAUAGAAAGUCCAGGAACAACUUCAAAUGUGAUUCUUGUAUAUAAAUGAGGAUGAACCCCGGAGCACUUUCAUCUCAAAGGAAGAUUUCGAAUGAUUUUCUUGAUUGUUGACCCUUAACUUGUAAAAGAUGCCCAUAAAACGAAAACUCAAGCCACUAAACCACUAAAUUCCACAACCCCUUUAACAGCAUCGUGCCGCAUCUUGAACUCUGCUAUCAGCCGAUCUUAAAUCUCAUUUAACAAUAUUUACAAGCAACUGCCACAAAAUCCAACAAACUUGUAACAACAUGACGAUGCAUAAUUAACACCAAUCUAGUUUAGCAACUGAUCAUAUGGCUCCGAGAAAGUCUCGAGAGAGAGGUAAAGGUUUAAGGAGGAUCCAUACAGUGACUUCGAUGGGGACUCGAGUGUCGACACGGUGUUGGUAGUAGAGGUCGAUACAAUCGACCUCGAGCCGCUUCAAGCUGGCCUCGCAAGCCGCCCUCACGUAUGCCGGAUCGCCCCGGACCUCCCUCUUCCCGUCCCCAAUGACGGCUCCGAACUUGGUCGCCAAUUCCACCUUCUGCCUCACCCCUCCCUUCAGCGCCUGCUCAAAAUCAACCCCGAAAUUAGAAAACCAUGACGCAGGAUCAGAGCAUCCUGCUCGAUGAAGCUAAAUUCCGUAACACUAUAAGCACAUAUAAUUCAUGCGGAGGCAAAACAGAGACUGAGAGAACCGACCUUUCCGAGGAGGAUUUCGUUGGUGUGGGGGCCGUAGAUGUCGGAGGUGUCGAGGAAGGUGACGCCGGAGCCGACGGCGUGGUGGAUGAGGGCGAUCAUGUCGGGCUCGGGCUUGGGAGGGCCGUAGAAGGCGGACAUGCCCAUGCAGCCCAGCCCCUGCGCCGACACCUCCAGCCCCUGCGACCCCAGUUUGAUCCUCCUCACCGUUGUCGUCGACGCCGCCGCCAUUGCCGUCGUCUAGCUCGAGCUCGCUCGAUCCCUGCACGUGCUACCGAAGACGCCGAUGACGAAGUGUCGGGCGCGCCCAGAUAUUUAUGAGGAGCCGGAUGUGCUACCGAAGACGCACGUGCUGACGAAAAGGGAGAAGAAAAUAAGAAAUGCUGACGUCAUAUGAUUGACAAAAUGAACCCUAGCACCCUUAUGAAAAAAAACCUCCUACUUUAGCUUUUCUCCUAAUUGUACCUUUUGUCUAGAAAAAGAACAAUAAUUUUAGAUCCAUUCACAAUUCUACCAUUACCUUCUUUUGUCCCAUAAAAAAUCCUCAAUUUUAACUCACAUACUAAUUCUACCUUAGACCUUUUUAUUUUAUUUUAUAUAAUACCCUAAAAUUUUUACAAUCUCAUAAAAUUUCAUAAAUUUUACUUGAGUCGCAAAUUUGCUCCCAUUAACCCUUUAUCCAAAAUAACCUAUUGACAUCAAGAGAAUGAAAACUCCCAAACACAAGUUGUUCAAGAGAGAUUGAACAUUCCCAAGCAUGAAAGAUCGAAAACCAAGCGCAAAAUGCCUAAGGGCAAUUUUGACGAAGGAUUAAUGCAAAGCAGAUUGAGGACUCAAGUAACAAUUGGUAAUCUUUUAAGAGAUAAAAUAAAUUACAGUGAAAAUAAAACCGGACCUAAAGCUGCGAUUCUUUUAUGAGACAAAACAACAUUUAAGAUAAAAUUGGUACUAGAUCUAAACUUAAGGAUUUUUAUGAGACAAAAAAAGUUUAGAUGGGAUUGGAACUAGAACUGAAAUUGGGGAUUUUGUCAUAUGAUUGACAAAAAGAAGUCUAACACCCUUAUACAUACUAGGUAUGUAUGUUGUCUCUAACAUAGUGGCUUAGCGAAGAUGUCUACAAGUUGGUCCAUAAUUCCAAUUCCUUUAGUUACAACAACUCCAUCUUUGAUAUUAUCUUGAGUAAAAUGACAAUCAACUUCUAUAUGUCUUGUUCUUUCGUGAAAAACUAGAUUUGUUGUUAAUUUGAGUGUAGCAUCAUUAUCACAAAACAAUUUAGUUGCUCCACUAACCUAUAAUCCAAGAUUUGAGAGUAAUCCUCCUAUCCAAACUACUUCGCAAGUAGUUUUCCACGUGACUUGAUACUUUGAUUCAGCUAAUGACGAUGAUAUUAUUGACUGCUUCUUCCUUUUCCAUGAGAUUAAUGACUUUCCUAAUUUAAUGCAUAAACAAAAAUAGAUCUCUUGGUCAUCAGGCAAGUAGCAUAAUUUAUAUUACAAAAAGCUCUCAUCUUCAUGUUGCAAUCACAAGAUAAAAAUAUUCCAAGUUCUAGACAUCACUUCAAAUAUUUCACAACUUUUAGGGCUACAUUCAUAUGGGAUUGUUUUGGACUAUGCAUGAAUUAAGAGCACUUGCAUUGCAUAACAUAUAUCAAGCCCUAUGAUGGUGAGGUAUAUUAAUUUUGCAACAAGUUGCUGAUAUGCUUAUGGAUCCUUGAUGAAUCCUCAAAAGAUGAAGAAUCUAAGUCCAUGAGUUGGCAGCUUAGUAUUUUGUUCGAUUAGUAUGAUGGCCGAUUUGUAUCUAGAUGAUUUCACUUCAGAAACGAUUUAUGGGUUGAACUUCCUCUUACUAAGACUAAUACCUUUACCAGAUUGAGCAACCUUAAUACCAAGAAAAUAUUUGGGAGGUCCCAAAUUCUUGAUGUGGAAGCAGGCAUUCGAUUGGCAUGUUUUGAAGUUGAAACUAUAGUUUUUUAAAAAUUAUUUUCUUUUUUUUUUAAUCUCGUGAAAUGUUCUGCAUCUGCCACAUGUCUAUAUGCUUUCCAGAGGAACAGUCCAUGAACGUAUGGUCGUGCGAUGUGCAGCUGGGCAAAUAAUUCCAUGCUGCCUUGUCUGAACGCAACGUUGCUAGUGCUCAGAAAAUGACAAUGACCUGUGCAAUAAUCGACUAGCGCACCAAAACAAAAUAAUCUAUUCUCCAUUGCAAAGCUAAUUGAAACAACAGUUAGAGCAAUAUAUUUGUUAAAAAGAAAUAAUUUGAUGAUAAUUUUUAUUCUAGACUACAAAAAAUCAAAUAACAAAUAAUUGAAAUUAUUAUUGGGUUCACAACUUUAAAAAUUUAUAACUCAUAACGAGUUGUUAUUCUCAUAAUAAUUCAAAGACUAUUAUUCUAACAAAAUCCUUUACUAAAAUACAAAUACCAAGCACAAGGGAAUGUUACAAUGAAAAACCUCCCAUUUAAUUAGGCCAAAUAAACCCUCCCAUUAAAUUCUCCAUAUUAAUCGACAUCAUCGCCAAGAGAAAGCCAUACUUCAAAGCUAUCACUAUAUUGUGGGAUUGUUUUAACAUAACUUAUCCGUGCAUCUUAAUAAUCAAAAUGUGAACUAUCAUUCUUAAACUUUUAAUAAAUGUUUAAUCUAAUUCAAAAAUUAUAUCAUUGCAUUCUAUCUCAUAAGACUAUCUUUGAUGGGUUGGAUAAAACUUUGAUAUGAUAAGUUUGAUCAUAUUCGUUGUUUAGAGUAACAUGAAAUUCAUAUAUAUUCUGGAUAAAAAUUCCUUCUAGAAAGUGAUAUAAAUUCAAAUAGGAUAUGUAAAAUUUAGAAAACUGAAAAGAUAAGGGGUACGACUUUUUCCCCACUCCAGCGCUUGUUGAUGGCUUAUCCUCACUUUUGACUAGUGCCACCAUCAUCUCUCUCUUGUUCCAAUUUCUCUCACUAAAUGAACACCGCAAACUUAGAGCAUGAGUAUAGCGAAGAUUUCUUUGCAUAUUGAUUGAUUCAUAUACAAGUACAUUGGUCCAUUUAUAGCGUAAGAAUGAAAGAGAAAAAAGGAAAUAAUAUACAAAGAAUUAUAAAUUUCCCUUUCAUUAAAUCAAUCACAUAUUAUCCAGAUCAAUCAGUCCGCAAUUAGGAUUGACUCCAUAAUUAGGAUCUUGAAUUAUAUCUCCAAUACUCAUUCUCAAGCCGAUGGCAUGUAUAUAUUAAGGACACCUAGUUUGCUUAGUAGGUACGUAUGUUGUCUUUAACAUAGUGACUUAGUGAAGAUAUCUACAGGUUGGUCCAUAAUUCCAAUUCCUUUAGUUACAACAACUCCUUCUCUGAUCUUAUCUCGAGUAAAAUGGCAAUCAACUUCUAUAUGUCUUGUUCUUUCGUGAAAAACUAGAUUUGUUGUUAAUUUGAGUGUAGCAUCAUUAUCACAAAACACUUUAGUUGCUCCACUAACUUGUAAUCCAAGAUGUGAGAGUAAUCCUCCUAUCCAAACUACUUCACAGGUAGUUUUCCCCAUGGCUUGAUACUUUGAUUCAGCUGAUAGCAAUGAUAUAAUUGACUGCUUCUUUUUUUUCCACGAGAUUAAUGACUUUCCUAAUUUAAUGCAUAAACAAAAAUAGAUCUCUUGGUCAUCAGGCAAGUAGCAUAAUUUAUAUUACAAAAAGCUCUCAUCUUCAUGUUGUAGUCACAAGAUAAAAAUAUUCCAAGUCCUAGGCAUCACUUCAAAUAUUUCACAACUUUUAGGGCUACAUUCAUAUGAGAUUGUUUUGGACUAUGCAUGAAUUAAGAGUACUUGCAUUGCAUAACAUAUAUAAGGCACUAUGAUGGUGAGGUAUAUUAAUUUUGCAACAAUUUGCCGAUAUGCUGAAGGAUCCUUGAGCAAUGAAUCCUCAAAAGAUGAAGAAUCUAAGUCCAUGAGUUGGCAGCUUAGUAUUUUGUUCGAUUAGUAUGAUGGCUGAUUUGUAUCUAGAUAAUCCUGCUACAAAAACAAUUUCUAGGAUGAACUUCCUCUGACUAAGACUAAUACCUUUACUAGAUCGAGCAAUCUUAAUAUCAAGAAAAUAUUUGGGAGGUCCCAAAUUCUUGAUGUGGAAGUAGGCGUUCGAUUGGCUAGUUUUGAAGUUGAAACUAUAGUUUUUUAAAAGUUAUUUUCUUUUUUUUUUUAAUCUCGUGAAAUGUUCUGCAUCUGCCACAUGUCUAUAUGCUCUUCUGAGGAACAGUCCGUGAAUUUAUGGUCGUGCGACGUGUAGCUAGGCAAAUAAUUUCAUGCCGCCUUGUUUGAACGCAACGUUGCUAGUGCUCAGAAAAUGACAAUGACCUGUACAAUAAUCGACUAGCACACCAAAACAAAAUAAUCUAUUCUCCGAUGCAAACUUAAUUGAAACAACAAUUAGCGAAAUAUAUUUGUUAAAAAGAAAUAAUUUGAUGAUAAUUUUUAUUCUAGACUACAAAAAAUCAAAUAACAAAUAAUUGAAAUUAUUAUGGGGUUCAUGACUUUAAAAAUUUGUGACUCAUAACAAGCUGUUGUUCUCAUAAUAAUCCAAAAACUAUUUUGCUAACAAAAUCCUUUACUAAAAUACAAAUACCAAGCACAAGGGAAUGUUACAAUGAAAAACCUCCCAUUGAUAUAGCCUCCCAUUAAUUAGGCCAAAUAAACCCUCCCAUUUAUUUCUCCAUAUUUAUCGACAUCAUCACCAAGAGAAAGCCAUAUUUUAAAGCUAUCAAUAUAUUGUGGGAUUGUUUUAACAUAACUUAUUCAUGCUUCCUAAUAAUCAAAAUGUGAACUAUCAUUCUUAAACUUUUAAUAAAUGUUUAAUCUAGUUCAUAAAUUAUAUCAUUGCAUUCUAUCUCAUAAGGCUGUCUUUGAUGGGUUGGAUAAAACUCUGAUAUGAUAAGUUUGAUCCUAUCCGUUGUUUAGAGUAACAUGAAAUUCAGAUAUAGUCCGGAUAAAAAUCCCUUCUAGAAAGUGAUAUAAAUUCAAAUAGGAUAUGUGAAAUUUAGAAAACUGAAAAUAUAAGGGGUACAACUUUUUCCCCCACUCCCGCGCUUGUUGAUGGCUUAUCCUCACUUUUGACCAAUGCCACCAUCAUCUCUCUCUUGUUCCAAUUUCUCUCACUAAAUGACCACCACAAACUUAGAGCAUGAGUAUCGCGAAGAUACCCAGAGAAGCCCUCGCCACAACAACCUGAGCAAACUCUAAGGGCCACCGUUCCUCCUACCAGUGACAAGUUGCUUACCACCUUUGGCUGCCUUGGAAAAGUGGCGUCGGAGCUCGUCAGCCCUGCCUCUUUCUUAUGUCACUUAACUCCAUUUUAGUAGGGAACUUUGUGAUCCCAAUCAAAGCUGGACAUCUUCUCUGUGAAGAAGAUGAUCUGAAAGAGGCGGCAGCCAAGGCGAUAGAGCUCCUCAACCACGUCACUUGGAGCGAGUGGUACCGAUGGUGCUACCACUCACAAACCGGAUCCGCAUGCUGUCUCGGGGGAAACUGUUGAAGCAACUGAACAAGUCGGGGCACGGUAACUAGGAAUCAACGCAGUAUUGACACUCGUCGAAGGGGAUGGAUUCAUCGUAGGAAAAGGCAAGAAAAGGCGUUGAAAGUAAAGAUGGCUAGACCAGCGGAGAACUCAAACCCAAGGGCCUCUCAAUGUGGCGAAGUCAAAAGUGAGAUAGCUAGUAUAAGCACCUAGAGGGGGGUGAAUAGGUGCACAAACAAUUUCUCGAGAUACGGAAGCGAUUCUAGGCAAACGAUAAAAAAGAAAAUACGAUCAAAGUAAAGUAAAGGUUAGGGAAGAGAAAAUUGAACACAAGAUUUAUAGUGGUUCGGCUUAUUCCAAGCCUACGUCCACUCUUCCACACUGACAGCCCACCGGCUGGAUUUCACUAUGAACAAAAGAGAAGUUACAGCACAGCUUUUCCUUGAUUCCACAAUGUAGAUGGUUUACCACACUUCCUCAAGGUUUCUCACGAAUAUAGACUCUCUUUUGUUUACACGAUUUUGCUCAACAAAUGAAUUGACUAAAAACAAUGAGCUUCAAACUUUGGAAUUCUUCUAUCGUGCACACUCUCGAACAACUGGAACGUCUUCUUAUAUACUCCUUCAUGCCAUCAUACCCGUUGGCACUUACCAAAGGAAUUCCUCCAAUCUACCAGUUGGACGGAAUCAAUUAGGAAGAUUAUUCGAGCUAUUAAAGGAACAUGUCGAUAGCCCAUCAAUCCUGUUCGCCCAUACAAUCAGGAUCUCGGUUUCCAUAAGUAGAACCUUCCAAGUAUACUUUGCCAAUCAUCGGAUCCUUAAUCUUCGAAUUAAUUAUGAUCAAAUAAAGGAUUCCGUUAUGUCAUAUCUAGCCAAGAGAUCUUUUCCAGUCGAUAAGGCCACAUCCUUAAUGAAACAUCCAGUUCUGGAUAGCCUUUCUUCAACGGAUUAGAACCUGUCAAUGAGGAUAGACUUUGAAUUUUGAGUCUGGCUGUUCGGAGGUCUUCAUGCUUUAAAUAGCAGAGUCUGCAAGCCUUCAGACUAGACUGAUGGAAACGUUUUGUCAACUUCAAAACACUUCAAGAGGAUUUCUCCAACAAUCUCCCCCUUUUUGAUGGUGACAAAACUUUGACCUGCAAAACAUUUCUCAAACACAUAUGUAUAUCUUAUAGAGAUAAAUGGCUAAAUGAAUAACACUAGAACCUGCAAUCACAGAAAAUAGGUUAGUCCAGUAUGCAAUAAAGCCAUCCAUAAGAUAUCAAUAAUAAGUAGUCAAAUCCAAAUCCCAAAUUUAGUCCACAUCCAGACACACAAGUCAAGUCAAAAUAAACCACAAACCAAACAAGCCAAAAGUUCGACAAAUUUAAGUUCAAAGUUUUUCAAGUCCUCGCAACUCUCCCCAUUUUUGUCAGCAUAAAAAAGAUUGAGAUGAAAAUGGAGUCAAGAAUGCUUGGGAACACAAACAAGCUGGAAAUCUCCCAUCAACUGAACGAUGCCUUCCAGCCUUUUCAAGUCUUCUUUCAGUUGUGCAACAUCCUCACCCUUAGCAUUAGCCUGAAUCUGAAGAGAAAUGGCUUGGAUUUGAUCAUUCAAUGAACCCGAAGAAGCUUGUCCUGCAUUAUGCAAGUUCUGAACUUCGCAUCCCAAUGCAUAUAUCUGACCUUGCAUCUCCAAGAGAAUAUCUAUUACUCUGCGAAAGUCUGCUGAAUUGUCGGUUUGCAUACUGGCAUUGGCACGAUCUGAUGGAGUAAAUGCAGACGAUGGUAUAUUAGCAUAAUCACGCAGAUUUGGCGAAGAAACAUCAUGACCUUCCUCAGGAAACUGAGAGGCAUAAAUAUCCUUUGGAUCUGCUGGGGAUCGACUGACUCCCUCACUGGUUGCAGGAUUUGAGGACAUUCCUAUUUUCUCUUGGUCUCCCCCUGUGUUCAUGCCUUCAGGUGGAGAGUGCUCCUCAUUUUCUCCUUCUUCUUGAUCUCUUUUCUCUUCUUCUUCUUUUUCAACUCUAUCUUUCUUAGCAUCUCUUUCUUCUUCUUCUUCUUCUUCUUCUUCUCUUUCCUCCAUUUCUUUUUCCUCUGCUUCUUUCUCUGCUCUUUCUUCUGUCUGCUGUUCUGACUCUUUCUCUGGAACAGAUCGACUGAGAUUCUUCAAAGCCAUUGCAGAAAUGGUGAUGUUAUCCUCAUCAUCUUCAUCCUCAAUGAGGAGAGCUCUUCUUCUCUUGGAUGGAGCAUCCAUGGGCUUCUUCCCUUUCCUUUUUCCUACAGAAGAGAAUUGAUGAGAUUUGAUUGGAGUCUUCUCCUUAAAUUUCUCCAAUGCCUUGCUUAGUUCCUUCAGACGCAUCUUGGUCACCAUUUUCAAUCCUACCACCAUAUGAUCGCACGAUCGAGCACAAAGAAUUUGCGGAGGUUGAAUGUUUAGAUGUCUGGAUAAUUUCGUCACAAGACCUGGAUAAGGAAGUUGAGCUCUGUCCUUCAUCACAGCUCUAUACAUGUAGAACAUAAUAGUGUGAGGAAGUGAAAACCUUUUCCCAGUGAUGAUGACAUACAUUAGCUUUGCCUCUGAACUUGAGACAUCAGUCUUGGAAGUUGAUUUUGGUCUGAGGCAAUUUAUUACAAUUUUGUGUAGCAAGAUGUUGAAUGAAUUCAUCCUUGAAUAUGAAAUCUUUUCCUCUGUUCUCCUGUCCUUAACAAGUUUCAGUGUAGUACGAGCAAUAGAAACUUUGAUCCGUUGAUAUCUUCCUCUCUCCACUCCUAACACAUCUGCUAGCAUAUCCAUAUCUACUACAAAGUCUUGAUCUUUGACGCUGAAGGAGAAUCUAUUCGCAUCCAAAAAACUAAGAUUUGAAUAGAAAUAUGCAGUUAGUUGAGGAUAGGCCUUUGUGGUGUCAGAGCAAAAUUUUUCAAGUUGAAGAUGACCGAAAUUUUCCCUCAAGUUCACAUUCACAGCAUCCAGAAAAUCAAAAUCUACACUCCUAGGGUUGAUCACCCCACGCUUCAACAGUUUUGAGUAUAGAUCCUUCUGUUCCUUCGAUCUAAACAACUCUCCAUUUUUUUCUCGAUUUUCCGCCGCGACUCCCAUUCUUGGUUGAAAUUGGCUGUAUAAUUUGUCAUCAUCAUUUCCAUCUACCGAAUUAAAUCCCCAAUCCCGAGGAUCACUUGGGAUAUUCGCAAGGCUUUCUUCUGCCACCCCUUUACGAUUUCCAUUUUUCACAAAAAGAUAUAUUCAUUUCCAUAUCCUUUGUCCUUAAGAAAAUCAUCGACAUAGUUCAAUGAAGUACCAGUCCCUUUUAAAGCCCGACACAGCUUAUAAAUAAAAGAGGGCAUUUGAACUUUUACAGGAUCUGCAUCUUCAAUGAUUUCUUCCUCUUGUUGAUGAACAACACCUUGAGGACUAGAUGGAGGAGAAUGACGCCGCUGAGAAUGUUGUGGGCUCUGCUGCUGAUUUGGAGACACUUCUUCUUCAGUGAGAUCGAAGUGCGUAGGCCCCUCACUCAUUCGCUGUGGUCCCCUGCGUGCGAUCCUUGAAGACUUUCUUGAAAACGAAAUCUUUCUUAGUCUUUGAAAGAUUCUUUGCUUGACUUUCCCAAGAAAGAUGACAACUUUUUCAAAGAUUAAACAAGAGAAGAAAACAGGAAUGGAAGAUUGAUGCUUUUUAGGGUUUUGGAGUUAAGCGAAGAGAAACCGACUGUAUAUAAGACAGUCGAAAGGAGGGGAUACCAAUCGUCGUAAUGGAAAGUGAAAAGAUGCAUUUUUUUAAAAAAUAACUGCCUUUUUCGAAAAAUGGUCAUUUCAAAAUAACUCAUUUUUCUAAAGGAAACGAUGCAAUAAUCUCAUUAAUUAAAGAUAGCGGUUGAGAUAACAAUAAUCAAACACGAUUGAUGAACGUACCUUUUCAAGAUGAGAUUAGAGAGAGAAUAACUUACAGUUAAAGUCUUAUUUGUCUAAGUCUGAGGGUCUCUAGACUUUCAUUUCUUCAAACCUCAAAAUGUUGAGUUUGGAACGGAUAAUUUCAAAUUGAUUUUUCUCCAAAGGCUUUGUAAAUAUAUCCGCCAGUUGGUUCUUUGAGUCAACAAACUGAAUCGUAAUUUCUCCAUUUUGAACAUGAUCUCUAAUGAAGUGAUGUCGAAUUUCUAUAUGCUUUGCUCUUGAGUGAAGAAUUGGAUUUUUGGUGAGAUUAAUUGCGCUGGUGUUGUCACAUUUAAUCUCCGUGCAUGAAUCUUCAAUUCCAAAGUCUUUUAGCUAUUGCUUUAUCCACAGAAUUUGUGAACAACAACUUCCAAGAGCUACAUAUUCUGCUUCUGCUAUAGAGAGAGCUAUUGUACUUUGCUUUCUUGAAAACCAAGACACUGUCUUGCCUCCAAGGCAUUCCUAUAGGAGCGACUGUUCCACAACCGCGGNNNNNNNNNNNNNNNNNNNNNNNNNNNNNNNNNNNNNNNNNNNNNNNNNNNNNNNNNNNNNNNNNNNNNNNNNNNNNNNNNNNNNNNNNNNNNNNNNNNNNNNNNNNNNNNNNNNNNNNNNNNNNNNNNNNNNNNNNNNNNNNNNNNNNNNNNNNNNNNNNNNNNNNNNNNNCUGAACAAAAUGUCAGGUCUAUAGAAGCAGUAGAUAAUAGUGAACCGAUGAUACUCUCGUAUAACUUUUGGUCGACUUUCUUUCAUCUUUUAUCUUUAUCUAUCUUCAAGGAACUUGACAUUGGUAUAUCGGCCUUUUUGCAAUUGUCCAGUCCAAACUUCUUCACAAUAUCAUUAGCAUAUUUUUCUUGAUGAAUAAAAGUUCAUUCAUUCAGUUGUUUCACUUGAAGUCUAAGAAAGAAGGUUAACUCACCCAUCAUGCUCAUUUCAAAUUCAUCCUGCAUAGUCUUAGAGAAUUUCUUGCAUAGACUUUCAUUAGUGGAUCCAAAAAUAAUAUCAUCGACAUAUAUUUGAACAAGUAGAAAACUCUUGCUUUCUCUUUUAAUGAAAAGAGUAGUGUCUACUUUACCUUUAACAAAUCCAUUUUCAAUUAAAAACUUACUCAGUCUGUCAUACCAAGCUCGAGGUGCUUGUUUUAAGCCAUAUAAAGCCUUUUUGAGUAUGAAUAUUGAGUCUGGUUUCCUUGGGUCUUCAAACCCAGGUGGUUGUUCCACAUAGACUUCCUCAUGGAUGAAUCCAUUUAGGAAGGUACUUUUGACAUCCAUUUGGAAUAACUUGAAAUUCUUAUAACAAGCAAAAGCAAGUAAUAAUCUAAUUGCUUCUAACCUUGCUACUGGUGCGUAAGUCUCGUCAUAGUCUAUCCCUUCUUCUUGUGUGUAUCCCUUGGCCAUGAGUCUUGCCUUGUUUCUUAUGACUUUUCCUUUCUCGUUCAUCUUGUUCCUGAAAACCCAUUUAGCUCCAAUAACAGACGUACCUUUUGGUUUAGGAGUCAAUUCCCAGACAUCAUUAAUACUGAAUUGCUUGAGCUCUUCUUGCAUAGCUUCAAUCCAGCUUUCAUCAGAUAAAGCUUCUUCUAUGCUUUUGGGUUCUAUUUCAGAAAUAAGAGCCACAUCACUAGACUCUUCGCGCCAUUUGGAUCUUGUGCGAAUUCUUUUAUUGAUGUCACCAAUAAUAAGAUCUUUGGGAUGACUGGACUUAUGUUUCCAGUUGCUGGUUAAUUUGUCAGACUGAUGGUCACUUCCUUCACUUGAAUCUUCAAUAGUCACUUGUUGCUGGUCCUUCAAAGUCUGAGCUAUUUUAGACUUUGUAGAGUCUGGAGCAGGUUCAGAUUCUUCAAGAUGAGUUUGAAUGGAUUCAUUUUGCAUAGAAUCUCGGAAUUUAACAUUCACUGAUUCUUCCACUGUUUGAGUCUUCUUGUUGUAAACUCUGUACGCUUUGCUUGUGGUUGAAUAUCCAAGGAAGAUGCCUUCAUCUGAUUUUUCUUCAAACUUACCAACUCGAUCAUUUGCAUUUUUCAGUAUAAAACAUUUGCAUCCAAAUACAUAAAAAUAUGAAACAAUAGGCUUCUUUUCUUUAAAUAGUUCAUAGGGGUUUUUUUUCCAGAAUAGGCCUUAGAAAAACUCUACUUAUAAUGUACCAUGCUGUAGAAACUGCUUCAGCCCAAAAACGUGAAGAGAUGUUACUUUCAAUUAAAAGAGUUCUAGCCAUUUCUUGAAGUGAUCUAUUCUUUCUUUCCAUAACUCCAUUUUUCUCUGGAGUAUAUGGAGAGGAGAAUACAUGUUGAAAACCAGAUUCAUCACAGAAUUUUGUAAAAUCAUGAUUUUCAAAUUUACCUUCAUGAUAUGUUCUUAUAUUCGAGAUAACAUAUCAUUUUUCAUUUUGAACAUUUUUAGCAAACUUUUCAAAGUAAGAGAAAGUUUCAGACUUACUUGCCAAGAAAUAUACCCAAGUAAAUCGUGAGUAGUCAUCCACAAUUACUAGGCAGUAUUUCUUACCUCCAAUGCUUUGAGUUAUGGUUGGUCCAAAAAGAUCCAUAUGCAGAAGCUGCAGUACAUGGUUAGUGGAAACUUGAUUUAUUGGUUUAAAGGAAUUUCUUACAUGUUUUCCCAAUAUACAUGGUAUACAUAGAUCAGACUUUUGAUAUGAUAAAUUGGGUAGACCACGAACAAGCUUCUUUGCUGAGAUUUUGGCUAUUUGCUUCAUAUUGACGUGCCCAAGCUUUCUGUGACAUAAGUUUGCUUCGUCUUGGAUUGAGAUUAGACAUUGCGAUUCAUCUGGUUUCACAUCCAAAAUGUAGAUAUUUCCAUGUCUUCAACCCAUGAAUGACUGAGUAGAAUCUUUACUAAUUCCUGAACAUAUUCCCUCUUGAAAGUUGAUUUUGAAAUCAGUAUCACAUAGCUGACUAAUAUUGAGCAAAUUGUAAUUAAGUCCUUCCACUAAUGAAAAAUUGCUGAUUGAGAGAUUUCCAAUCUUUACAGUUCCAAAUCCCACAAUUUUUCCUUUGCUGUUUCCUCCAAAAGAAACUUUUCCAUCAUUUACUCGAACAAACUUUAUGAAGUAAUUUGAGUCUCCUAUCAUGUGUCUUGAGCAACCACUAUCCAAAUACCAUUUUACCUUUUUCUUGAUAGUGACCUGCAUUUAAAAAAGAAACUCAAACCUUCUUUGGUACCCAUAUUUUCUUGAAUCCAUUGGUGUUAGUAUGAUAUGUGGUUUUUGCCCAUACCUUUUUAACAGGUUUCCAAAUCAUAGGACAUUCUUUUUCAAAAUGAUCUGCACUAUUGCACUUUGAGCAUCUGAGAGCAUUGCGACCUACUGGUUUUAUAAAGAUCUUUUUAAAAUGAUUUUUGUAAGCAUCUCUUGUGGGUCUUUGUUUGAUUCUUUCCUUUACUUUAGGAAAAUCAAUUAAAGGAAUGGUUUCAGCAGUCAUUCCCAAAUCAGAUUUAUUGAAAUAAGGUCUUUGAACAGAGAUAAUUUUUUCCAGUUUCUCAGAUCCUAUAGAAAAUCUUUUGGAAAUAUUUGAUAUAUCACUUUGCAAGAAUGCAUUUUCUUUUAAAAGAUUAUCUUCACUUUCUUUAAGAGAAGAAACAUUCUUGUCUAAACAUUUCACUUUUUCUUUCAAAAUAUUUUCCUGUUGUUUUAGAGCAGAAUUUUCCUUCUUGAGUUCGGAAAUUCUUUUAAGAGAAGUCUUAAAACUAAAACACAGUUCAUCAAUGUAUUUUGAAACUUUAAUAGGGAUUUUGAAGUUACUUACCUCAAAUUCGCUUUCUGAAUCUGAAUCUGUCUCGGAAUUUAAAUCUGAAUCCGAUUGUGCCAUCAGACAUAUAUUGGCAUAAUCAUCAUCACUUUCUUCACACUCUGUAUCACUCCAGGUUUCAGCUUUAAGAGCUUUUCGAUACUUUUCAGUUUUUCCUUUCUUCUUCCUCAGAAGAGGACAAUUGGGUCUGAUGUGUCCCUUUUUCUUACAUUCAAAGUAGACUACAUCUUUGUUUGAUUCAUCAUCCUCAACAGACUUUGUCUGUUGCUUUUGAAAACUUUGUUUCUUUGAAUUGAAUCUUCUUCCUUUUCUGUUCAACUUUCUGAAUCUUCUUAUCAUGAGAGCAAGUUCCUCAUCAUCCAUAUCGUCUUCAGAAUCUGUAACAUUAGAAUCAUCAUUAGAUUUUAAUGCAAUGGAUUUCUUACCUUUAGGGUCUUUGUCUUCAUUGUUUCGUUCCACUUCAUAAGACUGAAGAGUCCUAACCAACUCAUCAACAGAUAGUGGCAUGAUUCUUUAGGUCUCUCUGAUUGAGGUCUUUAUGUGAUUUCAAUCCUUGGAGAGUCCACGCAUUAGCUUGUUUACUUUCAUGGGAUCAGAAAUUGGUUGACCUUGAUUUUCAAGACCAUUCACGAUUUCUGUAAAACGACUAAACAUAUCAAUUAUAGAUUCUCCUAGUUUCAUUUUGAAGGCUUCAUAUUGACCGAGGAGAAUGUUGAUUCUAGUCUCUUUCACUCGAUCGGUUCCUUCAUAGGUAAUAUGUAAUCUAUCCCAGACUUCUUUAGCUGUAACACAAGAACAUAUUCUAUUAUAUUUAGUAAGGGGUAAAGCACAAUAUAAGGAAUAAAUUGCUUUUGCAUCAAGAGAUUGUCUCUUGAUUAUCUCUUCCUGAGUCAUUUUGCUAGACUCAACAGCAUCUUUUCCUCUUUCUGAGACAGAUGCAGCUUUAGGAAUGAUUCCUUUUUCUACAACGUCCCAUUCUGGAGGAUCCUUUGAUCUUAGGAACGCUUUCAUCUUGUUUUUCCAUAUGUUGUAAUCCUUUUCAUCAAAGUAAGGUGGUCUGGUAUUGCUUUGCCCUUCUACCAGCUCUGGAGCCAAUAUACUAGCCAUGAAUCUUUAACUCUGAAAUAAAACACUUCAAACAAAGUGAGUACACAGGCUCUGAUACUAAUUGAGAUAACUAGUAUAAGCACCUAGAGGGGGGUGAAUAGGUGCACAAACAAUUUCUCGAGAUAUGGAAGCGAUUCUAGGCAAACGAUAGAAAAGAAAAUACGAUCAAAGUAAAGUAAAGGUUAGGGAAGAGAAAAUUGAACACAAGAUUUAUAGUGGUUCGGCUUAUUCCAAGCCUACGUCCACUCUUCCGCACUGACAGCCCAUCGGCUGGAUUUCACUAUGAACAAAAAAGAAGUUACAUCACAGUUUUUCCUUGAUUCCACAGUGUAGAUGGUCUACCACACUUCCUCAAAGUUUCUCACGAAUAUAGAUUCUCUUUUGUUUACACGAUUUUGCUCAACAAAUGAAUUGACUAAGAACAAGGAGCUUCAGACUUUGGAAUUCUUCUAUCGUGCACACUCUCGAACAACUGGAACGUCUUCCUUAUAUACUCCUUCAUGCCAUCAUACCCGUUGGCACUUACCAAAGGAAUUUCUCCAAUCUACCCGUUGGACGAAAUCAAUUAGGAAGAUUAUUCGAGCUAUUAAAGGAACAUGUCGAUAGCCCAUCAAUCAUGUUCGCCCAUACAAUCAGGAUCUAGGUUUCCAUAAGUAGAACCUUCCAAGUAUACUUUCCCAAUCAUCGGAUCCUUAAUCUUCGAAUUAAUUAUGAUCAAAUAAAUGAUUCUGUUAUGUCAUAUCCAGCCAAUAGAUCUUCUCUAGUCGAUAAGGCCACAUCCUUAAUGAAACAUCUAGUUCUGGAUAGCCUUUCUUCAACGGAUUAGAACCUGUCAAUGAGGAUAGACUUUGAGUCUUGAGUCUGGCUGUCCGGAGGUCUUCAAACUUUACAUAGCAGAGUCUGCAAGUCUUCAGACUAGACUGAUGGAAACGUUUUGUCAACUUCAAAACACUUCAAGAUGAUUUCUCCAACAAAAAGGUAGAGCGAGCGUAAUCCAUCAAGUUGAUCAAGGGCAGCGAAAGGGGUGUUGCAGAAGGAGCGAGCGUCCUUGAAGUCACAUGGAACGGGGGUGCUUGAUAUGGAUGAAGAUUGGGAAAUGAUGAAUAGUAUUUACGACUUCCAUGGUUUAUUUUUAAUUUCAAUUAUACAAAUCAAACACUCAUUUAAAUUUCUUUUAUUUGAAUCAUGUUAUAUCCGAACGUCAAGAAAUAUUAGAUGGGAUUUUUAUCCUAUCAUUAUCCCAUAUAGCAAAGAUGUUCGAACGAUCAAACACAGCAUCAUUGGAUUUAUCUAGCCUAGGAUCUAAAUUAAACAUGUACAAAAAGUUCGACAACCAUACUAAAUAAAUUAAAAGUUCAGUAAGAACAUAACACAUUGGACCAAAGUUUAAUGACUAUUUGCGUUAUUUUCCUAAACCAAAACAAAACAACAUUGCUCCACUCUAACUCCAAAUAAAAAACAAUAGAAGUGUGGUUUUUAAUUUUAGGAAACCCACGCAAUAUCUCCAACUGUUUUAUAAUAAUGCAAAGGCAUGAGUGAAGGUAUCGAGCUACAUAAAAGCUCGUGAACCGUAGGUGGUGAAACUUGAACAAGAAACCUUCGAUUUCCCCGACACUCAUAUCAACCGCGCCAGCAUUUUAUCCCCAACUUCGCUUUCGUGAGAACAUUCGGUAACAUUUUACUGUUCCUUAACUUCACUACCAAACCAAACACAAACCGAAGCUUUGUAUCUAUGUGUAGCAUUUAGUCUUAAGAGCGUGUUGCACACGGUGUUAGUAUUGAACGCUUGGUUGGGGGAGAAUAAAGCGUCACUCUAGUAUGUGUUGGAGGUUUGUUUAUCAAAACAAGCUGAGUGUGUUUUUCUAGUAGUCCCACAUAGGAAAAGUGGGAAGAAGUGGGCUGAUUUAUAAGUGAAGGGUUUCCUUGUGUACAUCAAGGAAUAAUCGGGUGGGGCUAAACCCCACCAUACCCGCAUGUGGGUGCGUGAAUAAUUGCGCGGAUUUGGCACACUUAACACGCAUAUGCGCCCGCGGUUUAAUUAACACUAAUCCCUCUGUUUUUUUUAUUAAUUUUUAUUAAUUUUUAGUAAAUUCAAAGGUUCUUUUAUUUUUGAGAAAUUCGGAAAUAAAAUAUAUAAAAUGAAAAUUCGAAAUUCUAUUAAAAAAAUUAUUCCGAAUUUUAUUUGUGUUCUUUCAGUACAACAUUUGGAAAAUUACUUAUCCGGUUUUCAACUUUUCCCGAAGGGUUGCAAUUGUUCGUUUUCGAUUUCUUCUGAAGAGUCGCAUUUGUUUAUCAGAACAAUUUUUUAAAAAAGACGUAUUUGUUCGCAAUUUUCACGAAGAGUUGCAAGACUAUUUCAUAUAUAUACUUGUCAUUUUUCGAAAAGAAAAAGAGUGGUCAUUUUUUAGUCUUCUUUCUGAAAAACAACAGCCAAUUUUUCGAUUGUUUCUUAGAGAGACCCUGGAGAAAUACUUGAAUUGCUAUCUAGUAUUCUCAUUCGAGACUUUGUUGUAUCCUGGAAGAUUUUUGCUGGUGACCAUUAGUAACGUUGUGGCGCAAAUAAAUCCUUAAAGAAAGUAAUAUCGCGCCUCAAAGUCCGAGUUUUUUUACUCGAUCCGAUUUCAUUGUUCUACCCAAUUUCGAAGCCAUAAUUUUACAAAAAAUUUAAGGAUUUAGUUUGCUACAAUGGAGUUGGAGACAAUCAAAGUUAUGAAUCAAGAUAUGGUCAAAUUGGACUGGUUCGAUGGGAACGAUUUUGCUCGCUAGAGAGACAAGAUGACGUUCUUACUCACUGCUUUGAAGAUUUCCUACAUACUGGAUCCUAACUCUUGGCGCCUAUAGAAGAUCCUAAGCCUACUGUCGAGGGAGGAUAGCUAAGUGCGGAAGUCAUUGAGAGGGUUAAUAAGGAAAAGAAGAAACAUGCGGAUGAUGAAUUACUUUGUCGAGGAAACAUUCUGAACACACUCUCCAAUCGUCUGUAUGACUUAUUCACUGAAAUAAAGUCGGCCAGAGAAAUUUGAAAUGCACUGGAAUUCAAGUACAAAGCGGAGGAGCAAUGCACCAACAAAUAUCUAAUCGCAAAGUAUUUUGAUUUCAAGUUUAUUGAUACUGAACCCUUGCUAGAACAAGUCCAUGAAUUGCAAGUGAUUGUGAAUAAGAUUUGUGCCCUCAAAAUUGAUAUUCCAGAAGCUUUUCAAGUUGGAGCAAUUAGUGCGAAAUUGCCUCCAAGUUAGAAAGACUAUGUAAAAAGGCUGAUUCACAAGUCGAGAGACUUUACUUUGGAGCAAAUACAGAAACAUUUUCGCAUUGAGGAAGAGUCACGUUUACGUGAUAAUUCUGUUUUGUACAAUUCCAAGGUGAAUGCUGUGGACAAAAAACGGAAACUCGGCCAGAACUUCAAAGUAAAAAGCGGGGGGCAUAAAUUCAAGAGAACACAAAAGAAGCAAAAGGGUUGCUGUUUUGUUUGUGGCAAACAGGGACACUACGCCAAGGAUUGUAUUCACCGCAAGAGCAUUUCAAAGGACAAGAACAUUCCGGUGGUGAAAGCAGAUGCAAAUCUGGUUGAAGAAAAUUAUGUAGCCAUGAUUUCAAACAUAUUUUCAAACUUGAAAAUUUCUGAAAUCAAUGAUGCGAUGGCUAUGGUUUCUGAAAUUAAUUCUACCACUGUCCAAUCCGGUUGGUGGAUAGAUUCUAGAGCAACAGUCCAUGUGUGCAAGGACAAGUACAUGUUCAAGCAAUUUGAAGAGAUUGUUGACUCAAAUGUUUAAGAGGUCCUGAUGGUGAAUAAUGCUCUUGUAAAGGUUGCUGGAAAAGGCACGGUGGAGAUAGACUUCACUUCUGGAAAGAAGAUAACUCUUCUUAAUGUGUUAUUUAUACCUGAAAUUAGGAAGAACCUAGUUUCUAUUGAUUUACUUUGUAAAAGGGGGUUUCGGAUUUUGUUUAGAUCCGACAAGGUUAUCCUGUCGAAAAAUGGGCUGUUUGUUGGGAAGGGUUAUGCCAAUGAUGACAUGUAUCAACUGAGUAUCAAUAAUAAUAUUUAUAGUUCUACUUAUAUUGUCAAGUCUUCAAUUUUAUGGCAUAGUAGGUUGGCACAUAUAAAUAUUUGUUAUUUGAAGAAUAUGAGAAAAUUAGACUUGAUAAUUUUUAAUGGCGAAUUUGAUAAAUGUGAAAUAUGUGCUAAGUCAAAAUUUACUAAUAAGCCAUUUCCUAGUGUUAAAAGAAAUUCGAAUUUAUUGGAUUUGGUUCAUAGUGAUAUAUGUGAAUUUAAUGGUAUGCUAACACGUGGAGGUAAAAUGUAUUUUAUUACCUUUGUGGAUGAUUGCAGUAGGUUCUUAUAUGUUUAUCUCAUGAGAUCAAAGGAUUAAGCAUUUACCAUGUUUAAGAAAUAUAAGGCUGAAUAAAGAAUCAAUUAGAAAAGAAAAUUAAAGUUCUACGAUCAGAUAGAGGUGGAGAAUAUUUCUUAAAUGAAUUCUCUUCAUUUUGUGAAGAAUAUGAUAUUAUUCAUCAGGCUUCAGCACCACAUACUCCACAACAAAAUGGUUUAGCUGAAAGGAAAAAUCGAUCUCUUAGAGAAAUGGUUAAUUGUAUGCUUUCAAAUUCAAAUCUACCAAUUAAUCUUUGGGGAGAAGCAUUACUUAUUGCAUGCUAUAUUCAUAACAGAAUACCUUCCAAGAAAAAUGACAUAACCCCUUAUGAAAUAUGGAAAGGUAGAAAGCCAAAUUUGUCAUAUCUUAAAGUGUGGGGGUGUUUGGCAUACUACCGAGCUCCAGAUCUUAAGAGAACAAAGCUCGGUCCUAGAGCUAUCAAAAGUGUUUUCAUUGGAUAUGCUGAAAAUAGUAAAGCUUAUAGACUUCUUGAUUUAGAGUCUAAUGUCAUAGUAAAAUCGAGAGACGUUGAAUUCUUUGAGAAUAAAUGUUUUACAAGUUCUGAAAUUACUGAAAAUAAUUCAAGAUCUAUGGAAACUCAAAGUGAUUCUCAAGAGAAAGAAACGAAUGAUUCUAAAGACAUGAUUGAACCAAGGAGAAGUACUAGAGCUAGGAAAAUAAAAGACUUAGGUCCUGAUUUUAUAACUCAUGUUUUUCUUGUUGAAGGAGAUGGAUAUAAUAACGUGAUAAAUAAAUAUCCUUUAGUAUUAAAUUUAGAAGAUGAUCCUAGAAGCUUUAAUGAUGCUAUAUCUUCUAGAGAUGCUUCUUUUUGGAAAGAAGCUGUGAAUGAUGAAAUGUACUCAAUUAUGUCCAAAAUACUUGGGUAUUAGUAGAUUUACCGAAAGGAUCAAAACCUAUUGGGUGCAAAUGGGUUUUUAGAAGAAAAUAUCAUUCUGAUGGUUCUAUUCAAGAUUUUAAAGCUAGGCUUGUAGCUAAGGGAUAUAGACAAAAAAAAGGAAUAGAUUAUUUUGAUACAUAUGCUCCUGUUGCACGUAUAACUUCUAUUCGAGUUCUUUUUGCUCUAGCUUCCAUUUAUGAUCUUUGUGUUAAUCAAAUGGAUGUUAAGACUGCUUUCUUAAAUGGAGACUUAAAUGAGGAGAUUUACAUGGAACAAUUGGAGGGUUUUGUUCUUCUUGGAAAUGAAAGAAAAGUAUGUAAAUUGAUUAAGUUUCUUUAUGGACUUAAGCAAGCUCCUAAGCAGUGGCAUGAAAAGUUUAAUUCGGUCAUAUUGUCAAAUGGUUUCAUCAAUAGUAAUGCCGAUAGGUGUAUAUACUCUAAAUUCACUAAAGACUAUGAUGUCUUAGUGUGCUUGUAUAUUGAUGAUAUGCUUAUCUUUGGAACAAAUAUUACUGGAAUUAAUGAGAUUAAGAAGUAUCUAACUUCCAUGCUUAAAAUGAAGGAUUUGGGUGAAGUAGAUACUAUCUUAAGUAUUAAUGUUAAGAAAAAUAGUGUGGGUUAUUCUUUAAGCCAAUGUAGUUAUGUUGAAAAAUUAUUAAAUAAAUUUCAACAUCUUGGUUUUAAAGAAAUAAGUACUCCAUUUGAUUCCAAUAUUAAAUUAAAUUAUAAUACUGGUAGAGUGGUGGCACAACUAAAAUAUGCAAGUGCUAUAGGGUCUUUAAUGUAUGCGAUGCAAUGUACUAGACCCGAUAUUGCUUAUUUUGUAUGCAAGUUGAGUAGGUAUACUAGUAAUCCAAGUACAGAACAUUGGAGAGCUAUUACUAGAAUUUUUGGUUAUCUUAAGAGAACUAAAAAUUUAGGAUUGUUCUACAAUAAUUAUCCGGCUGUAUUAGAAUGAUACACUGAUGCUAGUUGGAUUACAAGUGUGGGAGAUGAGCGUUCCACUUCUGGAUGGAUUUUCACAUUAGCUAGAGGUGCUGUAUCUUGGGCAAGCAAGAAACAGACAUGUAUAACUCACUCAACAAUGGAAUAUGAAUUUAUUACUUUGGCGGUAGCUGGGAAAGAGGCUGAAUGGAUUAGAAAUUUGUUGUUAGAUAUCAAAUUAUGGCCUAGUCUUAUGCCUCCUAUUUCUAUCCAUUAUGAUAGUCAGGCCACUUUGGCAAGAGCCUAUAGUAGCACCUAUAAUGGUAAGUCUAGACACAUUAGUCUAAGACAUUAAUAUGUGAGACAAUUGAUUAAAAAUGGUACCAUAACAAUUGUCUAUGUGAGGUCAAGUAAAAAUCUUGCCGAUCCAUUGACGAAGGCUUUACCAAGACAUAUGGUAAUAACGACCUCACAAGAAAUUGAGCUGAAACCCUUUAAUUAAAAUCACCAAAAAUGGUAACCCGACAUUUUUCUAGAACAUCACUAGUUACAAGGUUUAAUGGGUAAGAACAAGUUAUUGAAUGUGAUUGUUUGAUACUGACAUAACCCUGAUAUGAGAAGUCAGUAUCGUCUGUUACAUUUUGUAGGCUGAAUUGAAUUCUUAAUAAAGUAUGAUACAAGUUUGUAGUGUGUUGAUAGUAACAGAAACACAUGGUAGAUACUUCACCUAUAUGAGCUUAGAAGUGGUGCCGCUUCUUACGAAAGUUAGGGUUGCUUUCUAGAGAGCUCAUGAAACAUGAUCAAGCACAAGGCCAUAAUAGUGUGACACCCCUCGACGGCCCCCGAUCCGUUAGGGUCGCCACAGUUCGCUCUACCUUUCAAUUUCCCUAUUAACAUGUUACUCUGAUACCAUUUCAAUUGCAGUAGGUCCAUACAACCAUGGGGAUUUACACAUUUUUUUUUUCUUUUCAACUAAAGGUCCCUUGCGCAAUUCAUAUACGGAAGCACGUCCAACAACUCCCUUCCCUAUAUUCAGAAAACGAUGCACACCUACUAAAUAUUUAUAAGUAAAAGCCGUACACUUUUAUUUACUUAAAUCAGAUGGACAUCAUUCAUCGGUACAUCAAAAUGCCGUAGUCUUUUAUAUUCGGCUACACUCCAAAAGAUGACCGACAUUUCCUCAAACAGUCAUACACUUUAAGUCCAUCGAUCCGUGUCAGCGUCCAAAAGCUCCUUCCCUUAUUAUCCUCCUCCUCACGGUCACAUCCAACCGUUCAAACCAUCUACUAAUCUGAAAUGUUGGUCCCCAAAAUGGGUGAGUACAACCACUUAGCAGAUAAAGGAAUCCAAUAACAACUCAAUGCAUCAUGNNNNNNNNNNNNNNNNNNNNNNNNNNNNNNNNNNNNNNNNNNNNNNNNNNNNNNNNNNNNNNNNNNNNNNNNNNNNNNNNNNNNNNNNNNNNNNNNNNNNNNNNNNNNNNNNNNNNNNNNNNNNNNNNNNNNNNNNNNNNNNNNNNNNNNNNNNNNNNNNNNNNNNNNNNNNNNNNNNNNNNNNNNNNNNNNNNNNNNNNNNNNNNNNNNNNNNNNNNNNNNNNNNNNNNNNNNNNNNNNNNNNNNNNNNNNNNNNNNNNNNNNNNNNNNNNNNNNNNNNNNNNNNNNNNNNNNNNNNNNNNNNNNNNNNNNNNNNNNNNNNNNNNNCAUCAUACAACCGGGCAUCGGCCCCCCACAUUCGGGCAUCUCGCAUCCCAACUAGCAUCACGAGAAACCUCCGGGGCAUGUAUCCAAGAUACAACCAGACAUCUGGCCUUUACCCUUCUAGCCAGGCAUCUCGCACCCAAAUCCUGGCAUCGCGAGGCAUUCCCUUCGGGCAAAGACCUCCGACAGGGCUUUCGGAAUUAUGUACCGACAUACCACCAGGCCUCCCCUGGAAUUACGUACCGUAUACCACCGGGCAUCCCGACACUCCCGGGGAAUCUCCGGAAUUAUGCCACUAGGCCACCGAGCAUCAUCACCCACAUAUACCAUUUCCUUAUCUCAAUUUAACAUGGCAAUUGGCAUGGUAUCAAACAAAUCACAUUUGACAUGGAAUUCACACUUGCAUCUCAAUUUGAAUGUCAUACACAUGCCAAAACUUUAUCCUAUACACAUCUCAAUUCAAUACAUGUACAAGGACCAUGUCAUACGCAUACCAAAACUUUAUCACAUAUACAUCUCAAUCCAAUACAUGUGCAAAGACCUCAUCACACAUAUGCCACACAAAUAGAAUUGAAUCCAUGGCCAAAUAUAAAUCCAUUUUAUUUUAUUAUUAUUUUAUUAUUUUAUUUUAAUAUCAAUAAUUUCCCAAGAUUACAAAAAUCCAAGAAAUUAUUAAACAAACCCAUAGGAUGAUAUUUACUUGCAAAAUUCAUGGCCAAUAUGAAAAUUUUACCAAAUUCCACAAUUUUCCAAAACAUCCUAUGAUUCUCGGAUUUAAACCAAAUGCACAGUUUCUGAAUAAAUUCAAUUAAAAUAUCCAUUCGGCCUCCAAAAAUUACGAAAUUUUACAGGGUGAUAGCCAAGACAUUUUCGUGCAUCUUUCAUGAAGAACUACAAGUCAAAUUCCUUAUAUAUUAUUUUAUUCAACCUCAUGAAGCUUCUGGAACCCUUACCGCAUCGUCCAGAAUACACAUCUCCGAAAUAUUAAGAUUUCACCCAUCUAUUCUCUUUAGUUUCUUCUGAAAUUCGGAUAUGUUAUGUAUCAAGGUGUCCUUUACAAGUUUCAUGAAGAGAUCUAGGUCAAAUAACCAAGGUAUGGUCACCAUUUAAGUCCAUUAAGUCUCGGGUGUCUCGGAACACAUCACCAGAAUCAUCGUCUCCAAGAUCUAGCCGAUUUACUAGGCUAUACUUGUUCAUUUCUCUUAAAAUUUGAGUAUGUUGUAGUUUAAUGUGUUACCUAAAACUUGUAUGAAGACACCGAAGUCAUAUUUUCAUCACAAACCAACAUGCAACCAAGAAUCCAACAAGAAGUCAGUGAAAACAUCACAGAUCUGAGGUCUCCGUAUAACAAGGCUUUAACCCCUCAAAUCUCCAUCAUUUUUCACGAAAUUUCAUUAUGUUAUAGUAAAAGAUGUUAUAUACAACUUCCAUGAAGACAUCAAAGCCAAAAUCUGUCUUCAAACACACAUGCAAGGUCAAACAAGUUUCGGACUCACACAACCCGAACAAGAACAGUCACACGGCUUGAAAACAACCAACCCUUACCUCGGUUUUUCUCACAAAUAUCACCCAAAAUCGAAAAUGCAAACCAUAUACACACAUGCAAGAGAAGUUAUAGGACUCCACUUACCUCUAAACCGAAGAAAACGACGGUGUACGGCGGCGAACACGGCGGACGGACGGCGGCAACCCCUCGGCUCCACCUCCUUCCUCUCUCUCUCGGCCGCACCCUCUUCCUCUCUCUCUCGCACAGUUCUCUCUCUCUCUCUCCCUUUCUCUCUUGGCCGAAUGGCUAACCAGCCAUUCUCUCUCCUUUCCUUCCCUUUUAUAUUGCAUGCAUCCCCUCUUUGCAUGGGGGGACAAGUGUUCUCAUGAGGAGAACAAGUGGCAACAAGGAGAGGACAAGUGUUGGAUGACAUGCAAGGUUAAUGGGCCUUCUUCUUGGGCCAACCUUGGGCCAUCAAAUGGGCUGGUCGACCACUCCUUUUGGGCCUCUAUUGGGCCGGCCAUCUUGGCCCAUUAAAAGCUUAGGCCAAUGGGCCUAACGCCCAUCCUAAAAAUUGACAUUUUCCUCUCUCUUUUUUUUUUUUAAUUUCUUUUAUAAAUAUUUUAAACUUUAAAUUUUCCACAUGGCCAAAGUCUUUCGACAUUUCAUUUAUUGAAAUUUAAUUUAUAAAGUGCAUGGCCAAGCAUAUAUUAUUAAUUUAUCCUAUAGUCCUAAAUUCAAAAUUCAUAAACACAAGCACAAUAACACCUAGCCUUAAGAAAACUAAUGGCUAACACAUAGACCAUAGGUAAUUUCAUUACCUAAUUAUAGGCUUUAAUUUCUCUAGAGGAUGACUUGAAUUUUGGGAUGCCACAAAUAGUGCAGAGUAAUAUAGAACUUCUCACUGAAACAAGAGGUUAGUGUAUAUGCGGUAUGUCCGGUUCUAUUACAUUAAAGUACAAGUUUAAAGCCGAGCUACUUGUCACUUUGAUAGAGCUUUGAUAUACUUGCACUAAAUAAAGAUUUAACUCGAAAGAGACCUUUAUGUAUGUAUAUUAAUCUUACUAAAAUUUUGGUUGUAUGUUUUUUUAAAUUUUAAUUCUAAAAUCUUUGUUUUACAAACAAAGUGGGGAUUGUUGGAGGUUUGUUUGUCGAAACAAGCUGAGUGUGUUUUUCUAGUCUCAAAUAGGAAAAGUGGGAAGAAGUGGGCUGAUUUAUAAGUGAAUGGUUUCCUUGUGUACAUCAAGGAAUGAUUGGGUGGGGCUAGACCCCACCAUACCAGCGUGCGGGUGCGCGAAUAAUUGUGCGGUUUUGGCACACUUAACACGCAUGCCCGCCACGGUUUAAUUAAAACUAAUCCCUUUGUUAUUAUUUUUUAUUUUAUUUUUGAGAUAGCUAGUAUAAGCACCUAGAGGGGGUAAAUAUGUGUAAAAAUAUUUUUUCGUGAUAUAAGAACAAUACUAAGCAGACAAUAGAAGGAAGUUCUUCUUUGGUUAACAGGACGAAUUAUGAUCAAAGUAAAGCAGAGAGUAGGGAAGAGAAAAUUGAACACAAGGUUUAUAGUGGUUCGGCUUAUUUCAAGCCUACGCCCACUCUUCCACACUGACAGCCCACCGGCUAGAUUUCACUAUAAACAAAAGAGAUGUUACAGCAAAUCUCUUCCUUGAUUCCACAGUGUAGAACCUCUACCACACUUCCUCAAGGUCUCUCAAAGUAUAUACUCUCUUUUGUGUACAAGAUUUCACUCAGUAAAUGAAUUGACUAAGAACAAAGAGCUUCAGACUUUGGAAUUUUUCUAUCGCGCACACACUCGAACAACUGGAACGUCUUCAUUUUAUACUCCUUUAUACCAUCAUAUCUGUUGGCACUUACCAAAUGAAUUCCUCUAAUCUACCAAUUGGACGGAAUCAAUUAGGAAGAUCAUUCGAGCUAUUAAAGGAACAUGUCGAUAGCCCAUCAAUUAUGCUUGCCCAUACAAUCAGGAUCUCGGUUUCCAUAAGUAGAACUUUCCAAGUAUACUUCGUCAAUCAUCAUAUCCUUAAUCUCUGAAUCAAUCAUGAUCAAAUAAAGGAUUCCGUUAUGACAUAUCCAGCCAAGAGAUCUUCUCCAGUCGAUAAGGUUAAAUCCUUAAUGAAACACCCAGUUCUAGAUAACCCUUCUUCGACGGUCUAGAAACUGUCAAUGAGAAUAGACUUUGAAUCUUGAGUCUGGCAGUCCGGAGGUCUUCAGACUUUGAAUAGUAGAGUCUGCAAAUCUUCAGACUAUACUGAUGAAAACGUUUUGUCAGCUUCAAAAUACUCCAGGAAGAUUUCUCCAACAAUCUCCCCCUUUUUGAUGGUGACAAAACUUUCCUGCAGAUUUGAAUAACUUUGACUUGCAAAAUAUUACUCAAGCAAAUAUGGAUAUCUUAUAAAGAUAAAUGACUUAAUGAUAACACUAGAAUCCGCAACCACAGAAAAUAGGUUAGUCUUUCAUGUGAGUGAAGCCAUUCAUAAGAUAUCAAUAGUACUUAAUAUAAGUAGUCAAUAAGCAGCCAAAUCCAAAUCCCAAAUUCAGUCCACAUCUAGACACACAAGUCAAGUCAAGUCAAACAUCAAGACAAACCAAAGUUCAAAAACCAAAGUUCAACAAGAUUAAGUUCAAAGUUUCAAAUCUCGCAUCUCUCCCCCUUUUUGUCAUCAUAAAAAAGGUUGAGAUGGAAAGAGAAUGGAUUCAAGAAUGCUUGGGAACACGAACAAGCUGGAAAUCUCCCAUUGACUGGACAAUGCCUUCUAGCUUUUUCAAGUCCUCAUUCAGUUGUGCCACAUCUUCACCCUUAGCAUUUGCCUGAAUCUGAAGAGAAAUGGCUUGGAUCUGAUCAUUCAAGGAUACUGAAGAAGCUUGACCCGCAUUCUACAAAUUCUGAACUUCGUAUCCCAGAGCAUAAAUGUGACCCCGCAUUUCCAAGAGAACAUCAAGAAUUCUACGAAAGUAUGCUGAUUUUCAAUCUGUGUACUGGCUUCUGCUCGAUCAGAUGGAGUAAAGGCAGACGAUGACAAAUCAACAUGGUCACGCAGAUUGGGCGAUGAAACAUCAUGUCCCUCUUCAAGAAAUUGAGAGGCAUAGAUGUCCUAUGGAUUUGCUGGAGAGCGAUUGACUCCCUCACUGAUAGCAGGAUAUGAGGACAUUCUUCUUUUCUCAUGAUCUCCCCCUGUUUCCAUGCCUUCAGGUGGAGAAGAGUGAUCUUCAUGCUCUGUUUCCGCUUGAUCUCCUCUCUUUUCUUCUUCUUUAAUUCUUUCCUCCUCUUCAUCUACUUCUUCUACUUCUCUCUCCUCUGUUUGUCUUUCCUCUGCUUCAAAAUUUUCUCUUUCUCCAGUCCUUUAUUCUGUCUCAUAUGUGUCCUUUUCUUGUCUCUCCAUUGAUUCUGGAACAGAACGACUCAAGUUCUUCAAUGCCAUAGCAGAAAUGGUGAUGUCUUCCUCAUCAUCUUCAUCCUCAACAGUGGGAGCUCUUCUUUUCUUGAAUGGAACUACCAUGGGCUCCUUUCCUUUUCUCUUUGCAGCCGAAGAGACUUGAUGAGACUUAACAGGGGUUUUCUCCUUGAAUUUUUCCAAUGCCUUGUUGAGUUCCUUCAGACGCAUUUUAGAGACCAUUUUCAGUCCCACCACCAUUUGAUCGCACGAUCGAACACAAAGAAUUCAUGGAGGCUGAACAUUCAAAUGUCUGAAUAACUUUGUCACAAGAGCUGAAUAAGGAAGUUGACCCUUGUCCUUCACCACUGCCCUGUACACGUGGAACAUAAUAGUAUGCGGAAGAGAUAACUUUUUUCCCUGCAUUAAUGGCAUACAUAAGCUUUGCCUCUAAGUUUGAAACAUCAAUCUUUGAAGUAGAUUUUGGUCUGAGGCAAUUAAUCACAAUCUUGUGAAGCAGAAUGUUGAAUGCACUCAUCCUUUAGUAGGAAACCUUUCCCUCGGUUCUUUUAUCCUUAACAAGUUCCAACGUAGUACGAGCAAUAGAGACAUUGAUAGGUUGAUAUCUCCCUCUCUCAACCCCAAUCACAUCAACCAACAUAUCUACAUCCACCACAUAAUCCUGAUCUCGGACACUAAAAAAGAAUCUAUUCGCAUCUAGGAAACUAAGAUUUGAAUAGAAAUAAGCAGUGAGUUCAGCAUAGGCUUUUGUAGAGUUAGAACAGAACUGUUCAAGUUGAAGAAGACUAAAUUUUUCCCUCAAUUUAACAUUCACAGCAUCAAGGAAAUCAAAGUCUACACUUCUAGGGUUUAUUACCCCACACUCCAUUUGUACCCUUUGUCUUUCAGAAAUUCGUCAAUGUAGCUCAAAGGAGUUCCACCCCUUUUUAAAGCACGAUAAAGCGUGUAGGUAAAAGAAGGCUUAUAGACUCUUACAGGUUUUGCAUCUUCAAUUAUCUCUUCCUUUUCUUGUCGAGCAACCUCCUGUUGUCUAGAUGGAGAAGAUGGACACUGCUAAGAAUGUUGUAGGCUCUGCUACUGACUAGGAAACUCUUCUUCCUCGCUGAGAUGGAAGUGUGUAGGCCCCUCACGCAUUUGCUGUGGUCCCCUACUUGCGAUCCUCGAAGACUUUCUUUGGGAAGACAUUUUUAACAGUCUUUGAGAGAUUCCAAGGAAAGAAAAUCCUGAUCGUUUGAGUCUAGGAGUCUCUAGACUUUAACUUCUUCAAACUUCAAGAUGUUGAGUAUGGAACGAAUGAUUUCAAAUUGAUUUUUCUCCAAAGGCUUUGUAAAUAUAUCUGCCAAUUAGUUCUUUGAGCUGUUGACACCCGAAAUUUUUGUCGACAUUUUAAUCAUCCAUUGUUUGCAAAAAUAUAAAAAAAAUAAAGAGCCAAAAAGAAAACGAAAAAAAAGAAAAAAAGGAGAGAAAAAAAGAAAAAAGGGGAGAAAGAGAAAAAAAUAAGAGAAAAGAAAAAAAAUAGAAAACAGAAUCGGGGAACGCUGGCGGGAAAGAACUCUCUCUAUUCUCAAGACUCUCUCUCUCAGGGGGGGAUUCUUCAGAUCUACUUUCUCUGACUAUAACUCUCUCUCUCUAAAAAUCUCUCUGGAACUGGCUCGAGUUAUUUUCUCUCGGAGGGGAAGGCAAUAGCUUCACGGAUUUUUUCUGUUCGAUCAUUCUUUGACCCCCCAUCAACAAAAAGCGAAGAAGAAAAUUCUCCACGAUUUCUCUCUCUCCCAGGAUGUUACGGGUGAACUUCUACAAAUCUGUGCAGAAAUUCUCCAUUCAUGGACUCUUUGUGGAUUUAGUCCACUCAAUCUUUCGAUAGAGGCAACGGAUUUCGUUUUUUUAUCGAAGGGAAUAAUCGAGAUCUUCACGAGUUUCGUUGCACAAUCCAAGGAGAUUAUCCACAACUGAAAUCAGAACAAGCUGAGAUUCUGGAUUUGGCUAAGUCUUCUCAAUCUCUACUCGUAUACUUGGUGUGCUUGGACUCUGAUUACAUUAGACUUUGUUGACGUCGAUCUCUUCAAUUUCGUUGAUUAGCGUCCGUUGAUGAGCCUCGUAAGUCAAAAAUCGGAGAUCGAUGUCGAACGAAGUCCCGAGCAAAGUCCAAUCGUUUCUUCAUCAGGCGAUCAGUAUUUUCAGCAAAGUCCAGCGACUACGAUGCACCGAUGGGUUCAUCUCUGAGUGUUGAUCUAGAAAAAGGAUUAGAGAAGAGUGAUCAUCAUCUACGAAAGUCAUAAGUCAGAGCUUGAAGAUCGGUGCUGAAUAGCUCUUAUACCAGAAUCUGACUCGGUGUUCUUCACGUUCCGUAGUCCUCGAAGCAAAAUCAAAGCUAAGCGUUCCAUUUCCUUUUUCUGUUUUGAUUAUAGAACAAAAUAAAAUUCGACUCUCCGCUGAUUUCAAUAUUUUUUUAUGUUAAAUAGCAGUUUCGUCAUUGUUAAAUGAAGAGAUCUUCGAAGGCAUGUUCUUCGCCGAUUCAAUCAAGGUAAGUGCUUGAAGCUCCUUUUAAUAGCAUCCGAUGAGGCGAGAGCUUCUCGUGUCGAAAUGCAUUCUCGACAACGAAGGUUCGGGGCCAAGAUGCAUUGCGAAUCUAAUUAGAAUCAAUACUUGAUUGAUUUAGAGUUGAUUACAGUUAGAUCUUUUGGUUCUAUGAUUUUUGAACUUGGAUGACAAUUGUUCUGCAACCUCGGAUUCCUGACAGACCUCUUUGUGUGUAUGCCCAGAAUUGAGUUAGUAUAUGUGCUUUUUGGUGCUCGAUGUCUUCAUGAAAGUCAAAGAUGGUUUGAUUAGCUUUCUAACAAGCUAUAGCACGUCUUGAUCCGAUAGCAUUAGCUACCUGAAAUAUUCUUCGAAAAUUAGGAGAUGAUUCUGGAAAACUGAUAUAUUGUAGUUUACUGUUAUGCAUUGUUCGACCUUGACUGUUUUCCCGAUUUCCUACUGAAUUUUGUACUUGAAUUCAUAGAUCGGUGUCUCAUGAAAAGUUGCUUGAAAUGUCCUUGGCUACAACAUAUAAUUUUUUCAGAAUUUUUUGGAGUUGAUUUGAUUAGGAAAAUUCUCAUUAAAUCGUCCUUAGUGUGGAUUGUCUUGUCUGUGACCGGAUUACUGUUUGCCUUGAAUGAGCUAGUAGAUGUGUCCAAUUGCCUUCGAUGUGUUGUAGAUAUUCAUAAAGGGCAUUUCAGACUUCGGAAAGACGCAUGGCAUAUCAUAUUUGAAUCUCGUUUGAUGUGAAUAUCAUGCAUUCAUUGGCUAAUUGCAAUUGAAAUUUGUCAUGCAUGACAUUCUUAGUUCUAAGUCACUUUGCAAUGUUAAUGACUUGUGUGAUUUCUUUGCAUUCUGAUAUGGGGUUAAAUGUUUACCCAAACUUUUUUUGCAUUCAACCUUAUGUCAUGUGCAAGUUUCACAUUUUUAUGCAUUGUCUAGGUGGUCUUACGAACCAUUAAACAUGCAUUGUAUUUUGUUUUGUUUGUGGCCGACAUGCGUGAUUUCACAAAUAUCAAUUUUUGACCAUCAAUUAGAUCUUGAUUGGACUUGAACCCUAUUAGGAAGUCUUAAGAUUCAUCUUAAUAUUUCAGAUGAUGUUAAUUUUGCAUCAUUUACAUACCAUUUGAUUUAGAAAUUUGCUUCUUUCACUUGUAUGCACCUAUUAAUAUGUUUCUUAGAUUAGGUUUAGAUUAGGAUCUUGAAGAUGGAGAAGGUGUGAAGAUGGUGGAGGUCGAUGUCCAUCCCGACCGUUGUCAUGUACUAUUCGUUUUCCCGACAUAUGUCUCGGGUUCCAUGCAUUGUAUAAAACUCGACGAGUUGUGGGUUUUCUUUCUUUCCCAAUUNNNNNNNNNNNNNNNNNNNNNNNNNNNNNNNNNNNNNNNNNNNNNNNNNNNNNNNNNNNNNNNNNNNNNNNNNNNNNNNNNNNNNNNNNNNNNNNNNNNNGAUUGUUUAACUUCAUGUCUUGCAAUUUAAUUUUCAUUGAUUUACUUUUCCCUUUCAUUUUUUAGGGAAUAGAAUAGAAUGAAAGUAAUCCCACCACGCAUGGAUCAUUUUAGUAUAGAAUUGACGAUUCUGAAAAUAUAUAUAUAAAAAAAAAAAAGAAAUGCAUGGACAUGUUAGGAAAAAACACAACAUAUUGUUUAGGUACCGAAAAGGCACUAAUAGCAAUAUUAGCGUAACCCAAGUCCCCGAACCUAGAUAUCUGGUUACGUAGGAAUCGAGGGAACACUCCUGACCAUUGAUUGGGUGUCUAGCCGACCCCCAAAAUGAGGUUAGUGGCGACUCCUGUAUAUUUUUUAGGUUGUUAAAUAACUAGAUCAUAUAAAUAAAUCCGCUGUCACGCGGGGUACGGGCUUGGGAGAGCUCGUGAUCUCGUGAGGAAAUUCUCGUGAUCAAGUACCCCUAAACCCGACCUUUCCCCACCUUGGAUACUUUUCGAGGGGCAGUGAGAUCAGGUCGCAACAUGAGCCAACAAACUGAAUCGAAACUUCUUCAUUUUGAACAUGAUCUCUAAUGAAGUGAUGUCGAAUCUCUAUAUGCUUUGCUCUUGAGUGAAGAAUUGGAUUCUUAGUGAGAUUGAUUGCGCUGGUAUUGUCACAGUUAAUCUCCGUGCAUUAAUCUUCAAUUCCAAAGUCUCUUAGCUAUUGUUUUAUCCACAGAAUUUGUGAACAACAACUUCCAAGAGCUACAUACUCUGCUUCUGCUGUAGAAAGAGCUACUGUAUUUUGCUUCCUUAAAAACCAAGAUACUGUCCUGCUUCCAAGUAGUUGAUAGGUACCCGAGGUGCUCUUUCUAUCAACUCUGCAUCCGGCUAGGUCUGCGUCUGAAUAUCUGAGAAGAGUAAAGUCUCCAUUUUUAGGAUAUCAGAGACCAAUGCUCGGAGUUAAUGCAAUGUAUUUGAUAAUACGCUUGGCAGCACUUAGAUGAGAUUCUUUUGAGUCUGCUUGAAAUCUAGCACAAAUGCAAACACUAAACAAAAUGUCAGGUCUAAAAGCAGUAAGAUAAAGAAGUGAACCAAUGAUACUCAUGUAUAGCUUCUAGUCAACUUUCUUUCCUCAUUCAUCUUUGCCUAUCUUCAAAGAGCUUGACAUUGGUAUAUCAGUCUUUUUGCAAUUUUCAAGUCCAAAUUUUUUGACAAGAUCAUUAGCAUAUUUUUCUUGAUGAAUAAAAGUCUCUUUCUUCAAUUGUUUCACUUGAAGUCCAAGAAAGAAGGUUAGUUCACCUAUCAUGCUCAUUUCAAAUUCAUCUUGCAUAGACUUAAAGAAUUUCUUGCACAGACUUUCAUUAGAGGAUCCAAAAAUAAUAUCAUCAACAUAUAUUUGAACAAGCAUAAAACUUUUGUUUUCUCUUUUGAUGAACAGAGUAGUGUCUACUUUACCUUUGACAAAGCCGUUUUGAAUUAAAAACUUACUCAGCCUAUCGUACCAAGCUCGAGGUGUUUGCUUUAAACCAUAUAAGGCAUUUUUCAAUCUGAAUACUGAGUCUAGUUUCCUUGGGUCUUCAAACCCAAAUGGUUGUUCCACAUAGACUUCCUCAUGGAUAAAUCCAUUCAGGAAAGCACUUUUGACGUCCAUUUAGAAUAACCUGAAAUUCUUAUAACAAGCAAAAGCAAGUAAUAAUCGAAUUGCUUCUAACCUUGCUACUAGUGCGUAAGUCUUGUCAUAGUCUAUCCCUUCUUCUUCCGUAUAUCCCUUGGCCACGAGUCUUGCUUUGUUUCUUACGACCUUUCCUUUCUCGUUCAUCGUGUUCCUGAAAACCCAUUUAGUUCUAAUAAUAGAUUUACCUUUCGGUUUAGGAGUCAACUCCCAGACAUCAUUAAGGCUGAAUUGCCUGAGUUCUUCUUGCAUAGCUUCAAUCCAGCUUUCAUCAGAUAAAGCUUCUUCUAUGCUUUUGGAUUCUAUUUCAGAAAUAAGAGUCACAGCAUUAGACUAUUUGCGCCUUUUGGAUCUUGUGCGAAUUCCUUCAUUAAUGUCGUCAAUAAUGAGAUCUUUGGGAUGACUGGACUUAUGCUUCCGGUUACUGGUCGAUUUAUCAGAUUGAUGAUCACUUUCUUCAUUUGAAUCUUCAACAAUCAUUUGAUGAUGGUCUUUCGAAGUCUGAGCUGCUUGCUGAGAUUUAGACUUUGUAGAGUCUAGAGCAGAUUCAGAUUCUUCAAGAUGAGUCUAAAUAGAUUCGUUUUGCAUAGAAUCUUGGAAUUUGACAUUCAUUGAUUCCUCCACAGAUUGAGUCUUCUUGUUGUAGACUCUAUAUGCUUUGCUUGUGGUUGAAUAUCCAAGGAAGAUGCCUUCAUCUGAUUUUUCUUCAAACUUGCCAACUCGAUCAUUUGCAUUUUUCAAUAUAAAGCAUUUACAUCCAAAUACAUGAAAAUAUGAAGCAAUAGGCUUCUUUUCUUUGAAUAACUCAUAGGGGUUUUUUUUUCUAGAAUUGGUCUUAGAAAAACUCUAUUAAUAAUAUAACAUGCUGUAGAAACGGCUUCAGCCCAAAAACGUGAAGAGAUGUUAUUUCAAUUAAAAGUGUUCUAGCCAUUUCUUGAAGCGACCUGUUCUUUCUUUCCACAACUCCGUUUUGCUCUGAAGUAUAUGGAGAGGAGAACACAUGCUGAAAACCAGAUUCAUCACAAAACUUUGUAAAAUCUUGAUUUUCAAAUUCACCUCCAUGGUCUGUUCUUAUGCUUGAAAUAAUAUACCAUUUUUCAUUUUGAACAUUUUUAGCAAACUUUUUAAAGUAAGAGAAGGUUUCAGACUUACUUACCAGGAAAUAUACCCAAGUAAAUCGUGAGUAGUCAUCCACAGUUACUAGGCAAUAUUUCUUACCUUCAAUGCUUUGAGUUCUAGUUGGUUCAAAGAGAUCCAUAUGCAGAAGCUGCAAUACACGAUUAGUGGAAACUUGAUUUAUUGGUUUAAAGGAAUUUCUUACCUGCUUUCCCAAUCUGCAUGGUGUACAUAGAUCAGACUUUUGGUAUGAUAGAUUGGGUAAACCACGAACAAGCCUUUUUGCUGAAAUUUUGGCUAUCUGCUUUAUAUUGAUGUGCCCAAGUUUUCUGUGCCAUAAGUUCGCUUUAUCUUGAAUUGAGAUUAGACAUUGUGAUGCAUCUGGUUUCACAUCCAAGAGGUAGAUAUUUCCAUGUCUUCGACCCAUGAAUGACUGAGUAUAAUCUUUACUGGUUUCUGAAUAUAUUCCCUAUUGAAAAUUGAUUUUGAAACCGGUAUUACACAGCUGACUGAUAUUGAGCAGAUUGUAGUUGAGUCAUUUCCCUAAGGAAACAUUACUUAUUGUGAGGUUUCCAAUUUUUACAGUUCCAAAUCCCACAAUUCUUCCUUUGCCGUUCCCUCCAAAUGAGACUUUUCCACAAUUUACUUGAACGAGCUUUACAAAAAAUUUGAAUCUCCUGUCAUAUGUCUUGAGCAUCCACUAUCCAGAUAUCAUUUUACCUUUUUCUUGAUAGUGACCUGCAUUUAAAAAAGAAACUCAAACUUUCUUUGGUACCCAUAUUUUCUUGGGUCUAUUGGUGUUAGUAUGACAUGCGGUUUUUGCCCAUACUUUCUUAACAAGUUUCCAAACCAUAGGGCAUUCUUUUUCAAAAUGAUCUGCACUAUUGCACUUUGAACAUCUGAGAGCAUUGUGACCUACUAGUUUUACAAAGAUCUUUUUAAAAUGAUUUUUGUAAGCAUCUCUUGUGGGUCUUUGCUUAAUUAUUUCCUUUACUUUAGGAAAAUCAAUUAAAUGAUGGUUUAUGCAGACAUUCCCAAAUCAGAUUUAUUGAAAUAAGGUCUUUGAACGGAAAGAAUUUUUUUCUAGUUUCUCAGAUCCUAUAGAAAAUCAUUUAGAAAUAUUUGAGAUAUCAUUUUUCAAGAAUGCAUUUUCUUUUGAAAGAUUGCCUUCAUUUUCUUUCAAGGUAGAAACAUUUUUGUCUAAAACUUUGACUUUUUCUUUCAAAACAUUUUCUUGUUGUUUUAGUGCAGAAUUUUCCUUUUUAAGUUUGGAAAUCCUUUUAAGAGAAGUCUUAAGACUGAAACACAAUUCAUCAAUGUAUUUAGAAACUUUAAUAGGGAUUUUAAAGUUACUCACCUUAAAUUUACUGUCUGAAUCUAAGUUUGUCUCGGAGUUUGAAUCUGAAUCCGAUUGUGCCAUCAAACAUAUAUUGGCAUAAUCAUCAUCACUUUCUUCACACUCUGUAUCACUCCAGGUUUCUACUUUAAGAGCCUUUUGAUAUUUUUCAGCUUUUCCUUUCUUCUUCCUCAAAAGAGGACAGUUGGGUCUGAUGUGUCCAUUUUUCUUGCAUUCAAAGCAGACUACACCUUUGUUUGAUUCAUCAUCCUCAACAGACUUAGUCUGUUGCUUUUGAAAACUCUGUUUCUUUGGAUUGAAUCUUCUUCAUUUUCUGUUCAGUUUUCUGAAUUUUCUUAUCAUGAGAGCAAGCUCUUCGUCAUCCAUAUCGUCUUCAGAAUCUGUGACAUCAGAAUUAUCAUUAGAUUUUAAUGGAAUGGAUUUCUUACCUUUAGGAUCUUCAUCUUCGUUGAUUCGCUCUACUUCAUAAGAUUGAAGAGUCCCAACCAAUUCAUCGACCGAAAGUGGCAUAAUUUUUUGUGUCUCUCUUGUUAAGGUCUUUCCAAUCCUUAUAGAGUCCACAAAGAAGCUUGUUUACUUUUAUGGGAUCAGAAAUUGGUUGCUCUUGAUUUUCAAGGCCAUUCACGAUCUCUGUAAAACGACUAAACAUGUCAGUGAUAGAUUCUCUAGAUUUCAUUUUGAAUGCUUCAUAUUGACCGAGCAAAAUGUUGAUUCUGGUUUCUUUCAUUCGAUCAGUUCCUUCAUAAGUGAUGUGUAAUCUAUCCCAGACUUCUUUAGCUGUAAAACAAGAAAAUAUUUUGUUAUAUUCAGUAGGUGACAAUGCACAAUAUAAAGAAUAAACUGCUUUUGCAUCAAGAGCUUGUCUCGUGAUUAUCUCUUUCUGAGUCAUUUUACUAGACUCAACAGUAUAUUUUUCUCUCUCUGAGAUAGGCGCAGCUUUAGGAAUGAUUCAUUUGUCAACAACGUCCCAUUCCAGAGGAUCCUUUGAUCUUAGGAACGCCUUCAUCUUGUUUUUCCAUAUGUUGUAAUCCUUUCCAUCUAAGUAAAGCGGUCUGGUAUUGCUUUGCCCUUCUACCAGCCUUGGAGUUAACAUACUAGCUAUGGAUCUUUAACUCUGAAGUAAAACACUUCAAACAAAGUGAGUACACAAGCUCUGAUACCAAUUGAGAUAGCUAGUAUAAGCACCUGGAGGGGGGUGAGUAGGUGUAAAAAUAAUUCUUCGUGGUAUAAGAACAAUACUAAGCAGACAAUAGAAGGAAGUUCUUCUUUGGUUAACACGAUGAAUUAUGAUCAAAGUAAAGCAGAGAGUAGGAAAGAGAAAAUUGAACACGAGGUUUAUAGUGGUUCGGCUUAUUUCAAGCCUACGUCCACUCUUCCACACUAACAGCCCACCGGCUAGAUUUCACUAUGAACAAAAGAGAUGUUACAUCAAGUCUCUUCCUUGAUUCCACGGUGUAGAACCUCUACCACACUUCCUUAAGGUCUCUCAAAGUAUAUACUCUCUUUUGUGUACAAGAUUUCACUCAGUAAAUGAAUUGACUAAGAACAAAGAGCUUCAGACUUUGGAAUUUUUCUAUCGUGUACACACUCGAACAACUGGAACGUCUUCCUUUUAUACUCCUUUAUGCCAUCAUAUCUGUUGGUACUUACCAAAAGAAUUCCUCCAAUCUACCCGUUGGACGAAAUCAAUUAGGAAGAUCAUUCGAGCUAUUAAAGGAACAUGUUGAUAGCCCAUCAAUUCUGCUCGCCCAUACAAUUAGGAUCUCGGUUUCCAUAAGUAGAACUUUCCAAGUAUACUUCGCCAAUCAUCAGAUCCUUAAUCUCUGAAUCAAUCAUGAUCAAAUAAAGGAUUCCAUUAUAACAUAUCCAGCCAAGAGAUCUUCUCCAGUCGAUAAGAUCAAAUCCUUAAUGAAACACCCAGUUCUGGAUAACCCUUCUUCGACGAUCUAGAAACUGUCAAUGAAAAUAGACUUUGAAUCUUGAAUCUGGCAGUCCGGAGGUCUUCAGACUUUAAAUAGUAGAGUCUGCAAAUCUUCAGAUUAGACUGGUGGAAACGUUUUGUCAGCUUCAAAAUACUCCAGGAAGAUUUCUCCAACAAUUUUUAUUAAUUGUUAGUAAAUUCAAAUGUUGUCUUUUAUUUUGAGAAUUUCGGAAAUAAAAUAUAUAAAAUGAAAAUUUGAAAUUCUUUUAAAAAAAAUUAUUCUGAAUUUUAUUUGUGUUCUUUCAAUACAACCUUUGGAAAAUUACUUAUUCGGUUUUAACUUUUCCCGAAGGGUUGCAAUUGUUCGUUUUUGAUUUCUUCCGAAGAGUCGCAUUUAUUUAUCCGAACAAUUUUCUAAAGAUGUGUUUGUUCGCAAUUUUCACGAAGAGUUGCAAGACUGUUUCAUAUAUAUACUUAUCAUUUUUCAGAAAGAAAAAAAGUGGUCAUUUUCGAGUAUUCUUUCUUAAAAACAACAUACAAUUUUUCGAUUGUUUCUUAGAGAGACCCUGGAGAAAUACUUGAAUUGCUAUAUAGUAUUCUCAUCCGAGACUUUGUUGUAUCCUGGAGGAUUUUUGCUGGUGACCAUUAGCAACGUUGUGGGGUAAAUAAAUCCUUAAAGAAAGUGAUAUCACGCCUCAAAGUCCGAGUUAUUUUACUCGAUCCGAUUUCAUUGUUCUACCCAAUUUCGAAGCCAUAUUUCCAGCGGUAUAUACGACUAAGUUUGAAUUCUUCAAAAUCCCAAUUGAUUCUAAAAGUCACCCCAUAAAGUCGACAAGGCAGGCUCAGUUCAUAUUCAACUCGCUCUCGUGUUUAUCGAGUGAUCUUCCCCAGUAAGGUUAGUACACAUCGGNNNNNNNNNNNNNNNNNNNNNNNNNNNNNNNNNNNNNNNNNNNNNNNNNNNNNNNNNNNNNNNNNNNNNNNNNNNNNNNNNNNNNNNNNNNNNNNNNNNNNNNNNNNNNNNNNNNNNNNNNNNNNNNNNNNNNNNNNNNNNNNNNNNNNNNNNNNNNNNNNNNNNNNNNNNNNNNNNNNNNNNNNNNNNNNNNNNNNNNNNNNNNNNNNNNNNNNNNNNNNNNNNNNNNNNNNNNNNNNNNNNNNNNNNNNNNNNNNNNNNNNNNNNNNNNNNNNNNNNNNNNNNNNNNNNNNNNNNNNNNNNNNNNNNNNNNNNNNNNNNNNNNNNNNNNNNNNNNNNNNNNNNNNNNNNNNNNNNNNNNNNNNNNNNNNNNNNNNNNNNNNNNNNNNNNNNNNNNNNNNNNNNNNNNNNNNNNNNNNNNNNNNNNNNNNNNNNNNNNNNNNNNNNNNNNNNNNNNNNNNNNNNNNNNNNNNNNNNNNNNNNNNNNNNNNNNNNNNNNNNNNNNNNNNNNNNNNNNNNNNNNNNNNNNNNNNNNNNNNNNNNNNNNNNNNNNNNNNNNNNNNNNNNNNNNNNNNNNNNNNNNNNNNNNNNNNNNNNNNNNNNNNNNNNNNNNNNNNNNNNNNNNNNNNNNNNNNNNNNNNNNNNNNNNNNNNNNNNNNNNNNNNNNNNNNNNNNNNNNNNNNNNNNNNNNNNNNNNNNNNNNNNNNNNNNNNNNNNNNNNNNNNNNNNNNNNNNNNNNNNNNNNNNNNNNNNNNNNNNNNNNNNNNNNNNNNNNNNNNNNNNNNNNNNNNNNNNNNNNNAAUCGUUGUCUAUCUGGAUAAGCAUGAUCAGUUAUAAAUUAUCUUGAAAUGAUUAAAAUAUCAUGUCCCAAAUCAUAAGCAUAGAAACGUCAAGCGAAGUGAUCUAGCAACUACCACACAAGGCUGAUGGGCUUGAUGUAGGAUGUGAAAACAGAAACAAACUCGACAAUCUAAGUUUUGUACGUGUGAUGAUACCAUUAGUCACACAUAAAAUAAAAAAUCAGAAAUGUAGAUGAUGUGUAGAAGAAUGUUAUCAGACGCAGAGCUCUUUUAGCUACAAAGAAAAAUAGCUACUUCACUUGCCCAGCGCUAUCGCUAGUCAAACGCUAAUGGCAGGGAGUAAUACACAAUUGGCUUUAUGCCAGAUGGGAACUUGAUCCAAAAGUCUCAUAAGAAGGGUGUCGGGAGUCCUCACUCAAGAAAUGGUUGUGUCAAGAUAUAGUUUAUCUUGUGAAGAAAGAUGAGAAUGAAAAAGGACGGAAGGCCAGAGCCCGAUACUGGCGUCAGUUAUUUCGAGGAAAUAUCGCUAAUCUUGUGAAGAAAGAUGAGAGAAAAAGGGUGGGUGGAAAGUGGGGAAAGGAUAGUGAUAAGUAAAUGUUGGGAAGGCUGGGAAACAGAGCAACUUACAUAUAAACCUAUAUGUAUUCAUUCCCAAAAGAAUGAGAAUCCGGGAACCUACCUCUUUCAGGCUCACUAAAGCCAUUACUUGUGAUUUUACAUUUAUCUAGAAUCGAGAGAGGUAGUAUGUCUGGCGAGUGCUGGAUUGAAGACAUAUAAGAACGUGAUGCAUUUGUGUCACCAAGUUUUAUUCAUCCCAUCCAGAAACUUUUCUUUAUACCACAAGAACAGGUUUCCAGCACUUCAAUGAGAAU
rnacentral:lncRNA from 1 species